AGGGAACUUAAGGAAACUUAAAAUUAACCUAAAAUAUCUAGGGUUUUUUUUCAGGAAGUGUGUAGGAAGGCCGUGCAAAUCACAUAGGGGGAGGUGUGACUAGGGCUGUAAGCUGUAUAAACAAAGUUAUCUAACUACUAAAUAGCAGCGAAUUAAGCAGUCAGACUUCAAGGAAAUAAUCUAUACACCAAAACUGCUUCAUUAAGCUAAAAUUGUAUUGGUAUCUAUAGUAUCCAAUUAAACAGGACAUGUAUCUAAAUAAACAGACAUUAAAACAUUGUGCUUAUUAAAUGCCAAAAUCCUGAACAGAAAUUAUUAGUGGCUUCUUUAAAUAGGCAGUCUUUUAUUCAGGAACAAAAUACAAUAGCAGAAUUUCGGCUCUUGCAUGAGCCUUUGUCAAGCCUGACAAAAGCUAAUUUAAGAGCAGAAACGUUACUAUUGUAUUUUUUCCUGAAUAAAAGACUGUCUAUUUGAAGAAACCAGUAGGUGUACCGGAAUGUUUGUAAAAUUGACUACAUAUUUUGAUGGCAGUAACACAAUUAGACAAUAUUAAAGAGGACAUUUUAAAAUCUUUUUCUCAGCCUUGUUAGAAAUGACCAUUUCAUCCAUUUGUAUUCACCAAGUUACAAACAUCAUCAUUGUACACGACACAUAAUAACCUCUGGGACACAUGGAGGGCCACUUGAAGAAUCUAAGGUAUUCAUUGAAGUGUAAUCAUUCUAACUUUCAAAUAACCAUUUUAGCAAGAUUAAACUAUCUUGGAAUCCAGCACAAGUUUGUAAUUGAUCCUGUACUUCUGUAAAUAGGUGUAAUUAAACUAAAUCGUGUUAUAUUACCAAGUACUUCCAUUACAUUGCAAUUAAUAGAUGCAGUAUGGUUUUACAACUACUUGUUGCAAAGAGCUGAUAAUUCAAUAAAAAUGCUAAUGCUCAAGAUAUUAAAGAUCCCAUUUUAUUAGGGCUAUAGUCAGUCAACAGGUGGGCAAAAAAGUUGUUGAUGCUAAGUACUUCCAUGAUAAGCAAUUUCAUUUGGUACGUGAAUAAAGUGUUUCUCUUCCUCUAGCUCUCCCUCUCCCUCUCCCUCUCCUGAGAGGUAUUUCCUUAAAACGUUCCCCACUCCUUAUUGCAUACAGCGGUAAUCAUUCCCUUGUUGCGAGUCUGUACACAAAGACUUUACCAUUUGUUCACUACAAAGGCCAAAGUAAAAGGCUAGGUACAUGAAAAGGAUUCUCCAGAACGAAGGCCACUCAUUC